AAAAUGGCUGGAGGAAUGUAGCUUCGAUCUUGUAUUGAAGUGUUAUGCCUCUGGUAGAUGUGGUGAUUGGGACUGAGGAUUGCAACGAAUACCUUCUGGGCUAUCGUCUGAUCUCUGAAAGUUGCUUAGGUGCCGAAAGCGUGCUUACGGUUAUCAAAGUCGAUGUCAAUAGGUUAGAAUGGGUUAAAUUCGUUAAGGAUGUUGACGUAAUGGCUUUAAACGA
rnacentral:rRNA from 1 species